CUUUGCUAGGACUUUGGGCAGAGCUGCAGAGGCAAGCCUGAUUCGGAUUUCCCUGACCUGGCCGUCAGCGGAGGAGUGGGACACGACAUGAGCGUAGGGAUGCUGCAAUGGUCAUAAGUGAGAAAAGUGGUCGAAGAAAUCCUCAAGAGGUCCAAAAACUUAAAAAAGAGAGAAAGAGAGCCGGCUACAAAGAGUUUGGGAACAAAAAAACGCUGUGAAGAAAAAGUGUUCCGGUUGAAGACCAAAGUCCACUGGGACGUGUUCUAGAAAUAUAUAUAUAUACAUAUAUUGCACCCCCAGAAAAACUGUUUAGGGAGGAGCGGGGUUAUAUUGAAGACGGAGCAAACACCCACUUAGAUACCAGAGAGGAGAAAACGGGGGUACAAAGUAUUGUCCUAAAAGUUGCAGAACAAAUUAAAAAUGCUUCCAAAAGUGUGGAAAUGCCACAAAGCCCAUUUCUUAACUGGAAAAAAUAAAAUAAAUAAAAGUAUUGCCUUAGGACCCCCAGAAAGAGAUAAAAAGGUACAGUACAACAAAGGGUUCAACAGUCCCCCGUCCCCAAUAUCCCACCCUCUUUCUGUGUAAAAGAAGUCCCAAACCUCUGGCUGGUUGGAUGACCUCUGGGAAUCCCAAAAUGGCCAGCAGCAUGGUUAAUUUUUUAAAACCCUUUUAAAAAGGCACAAUAUUCUUUAAUGUUUUGCUUUUUUUUCCCAGGGAGGUGAGAUUUGAGACGGCUGGUAUGGAAGCCAUCAGCGGGGUGGGGAGCUGCCAUGAAAGUUUUUCAGAAUUGAUUUUUCAAAAUUAUUUUUUUUCAAAAUUCAACCAUUUUCUCCCCCACCUGUUCUCAAGAGGUACCGUCCAUCGUUCCUGGUAUGUUUUCGGUUGGGUGGUUUCUUUAGGGGGGGAAACCUUUCCAUAGUGGGUUAUUGUGCAAGUUAGGCUCACCCUCAUCAGGACUAGAAACUUGUCUAGUUUCUCAAAAAAGAAAUGAACGAUCAAGCUGUUCUUUUCUCUUUCGCUCACAAGAUGAGUUUUGAGGAUGUUUCUUCCCAUCUGGCGGAUCUGAUCAUGAUGGGAGGUGGUCUUAUAACAAUGGCUUGUUCAAAUAAUCCUGGUUAAAAGUGGCAAUUCCAUCUUGGCUUAAGUAAACCAGUCGGCUUCCUGGGUUUUUUGGUAAAACUUUCAAUACACUGUGCCUGAUUAUAUUCUGCAUAGAUAUCACACAGCUCGCUUCCUGCUUGGAGAUGCGAACAAUAGAAUUGAGGAAAUUGAGCUUCCUUAUUUAGCGGCAGUCUACCAGGAUAAAGACACUAGUGGUUGUUUUCUCAUCAUGAAUAUUUGGGGUUUUUCAGAAGGAUGCAUCUAAACUUGAUGGCUGCAGAACAAGAGUGGAUUUCAACUCCCAGAAUUCCCCAGCCAGCUAUUAGUUUCUUAUAAUCCCUUCCACUGCAAUCUCUCUGCUCUGGGAAGGGAGUGGGUGACAAAGAAAAUGAGCAGGGCUGGCUGAGGAAUUCUUGGCGUUGAAGUCCACCCAUCUGAAACUUGCAAAAUUGAGAAUUACGGGUUGACAGGAAGUCUAGAUGCCAUUCCAAGCUACGGAAAACAGAGAAUUAAAUUUGGUUUUUAGAUCUAGCCUUGUUCUGCCUUUUUUUUUUUUUU